UAAAACAGGCCUGUCCUCUAAAGGCCCAGGCACUGCCGACAACAACAAAAUAGUCACCUGUGAUAUCGCCAUCGAACAGCCCAAGCCAGGCCUCAUUCCAAUGCAAAUUCAAUGCGCCCGGACUCCUACAUGCACCGCCACAUCAAUGGACAUGGGCUAUUUAAACAUUGCAGUCUCGACACGUACCUACUCCGUUUGCCUGUCAAAAUCUCCGACCAGGAAACAUGAAGCACCCGGCCCUCUACCUUUUAUGAGGAAAAACAAAUGUAGACGGGCCAGCAGCCCCCGAUGACCCGAAAGAACUACUACAACACAUUUAACAGACCUCUACUAAAUCAUCUGUGAUAGCAGUGGUGUGGUUCACACUGGGCUACCUCUCUACAAUGGUACCAGGAGAUUAUUCAAGGUCUGUAUCUUUUUCUAUGAAUGCUUCUACUGGUUUUAUGUGUGAACAAUUAGAACAACAGGGUGCCAUACUCUGAAACCACAAACGCCUUCCUCGAGGCCAGAAUUAAGUCUGAUGCUCUCGCCUCUGUUCCAAUGAAACAAUUAGAAGAGUGAGCCCUGCGGUAUGCUGGGAAUUACAGGCCUGUUUACAUGUAAAUAUGCUGCUGACCGCGUCUUCUCAAGGAUUGAUUUACUCUUUCUAUUUUUACCAGGUCUAAUUUGUAAAAGGAUUAAAACAUGCCUCGCCCAGUCACACAAACAAUAUGUUUGAAACUAUGCUGUAAAGACAUGCUAGUGCCACCAUAUAAUUACAGGAUUCUUGAUGCUUUUGAAAGCACGGUGCCAAUGCCUCAGGCUGGAAACAUAAACAUGCUCUGUUCCUCCGAGGACAAUCAUCCUAUCUGCAACGGUUAUCAGCGACACCAUGUCUGCAUCCCAAAUGGCAGCCUAUUCCCUGUAUAGUGCACUACUUUCGACUGGAAUCCUAUUGGCCGUGUUAUGCACUAAUAGGGAAUAGGGUGCCAUUUGGGACAUGUUCUUAAACAUGCCUUGUUCCUUCGAAAACAUUCCUCCUAUCUGAGAUUAUCAUCUUAUCUGUGGCAGUGGAAGUGGAUGUGUGUGUGGGUGCGUGUGUGUGAGUGCACGUGUGUGUGUGCAUGUGUAGGUGUGUGAGAGAGACUGUGGCGGGGUGUGAUGUGUCAGUGGGACUGUAGCAGCAGAGUGACAUGUAAGACAGCAUCUCUCUGAUUAACAUCACCUGGCUGUCCUGUGUGGCUAGAUCAGAUGGCAGUGGGAUGCUGGGGCACUUACAAGGGGAGGGACACUCGCACUUCAUUAACAGGUAGCCUACUCUCUCUCUCUCUCUCUCUCUCUCUCU